rnacentral:rRNA from 1 species
AGUGAACGCUGGCGGUAGGCCUAACACAUGCAAGUCGAACGGCAGCACAGUAAGAGCUUGCUCUUACGGGUGGCGAGUGGCGGACGGGUGAGGAAUACAUCGGAAUCUACUUUUUCGUGGGGGAUAACGUAGGGAAACUUACGCUAAUACCGCAUACGACCUACGGGUGAAAGCAGGGGAUCUUCGGACCUUGCGCGAUUGAAUGAGCCGAUGUCGGAUUAGCUAGUUGGCGGGGUAAAGGCCCACCAAGGCGACGAUCCGUAGCUGGUCUGAGAGGAUGAACCGCCACAAUUGGACUUGAAAACCGUCCCAGCUCCCAAGGGAGGGAACAGUGGGGAAUAUUGGGCCAUGGGGGGCAGCCUUGUCCAGGCCUACCGGCGUGGGUAAAGAGGCCUUCGGGUUGUAAAGCCCUUUUGUUGGGAAAGAAAAGCAGCAGGUUAAUACCCCGCUGUUCUGACGGUACCCAAAGAAUAAGCACCGGCUAACUUCGUG